UUAGGCCUUUGGCAACAGAUGUACUGAAUUGGUGGGUCUCCCAUUCAUUAUGUUUUUUUAGUGGUUUUGUUGUACCGGUCUAAGAUAUGUCGGAGUCUAUUUCUAGCUAAGGAAAUUUUUGCUUCAGCGAAUUAAGAACAGGGAAUUAGUGUGUCUCCCUAUGGGCAAAUCUGGCAGACUGUCAAUGGACUGCCCACGGAAUAAUGUGUAGACCAUGCAACAAAUCUGUGGUGUGAUACAUACCCCCUUGUUGAAGGAAAAAUGCUUUUAGAAAAAUGUUACAGAAGUCUGAAGUUAGAUUAUUUUUACCCAAUCAGGAAACAGGAUUUGGAAGCUGGCAUUUUGCGUGAGAUGACGGAACAUUCAACAAUGGAAGUUUUGAUGAGUAGUCACGUGAAAUGUCGGAACAGCACACGAUCUCAGAUCAGGUCACUUGCUAUGCAAGUACAUCUCCGUAAUAUAUAUAUAUAUAUAUAUAUAUAUAUAUAUAUUCACACACCUCGUACUACGGACCUCCCGUCAACGGAUUUCGGAAGUAGCGGACAAAAUCACACCCUUCACCAUCCAUGGCACAAGGACACCAAUUUUGAGGAAGAGGGGAAACGUCGAUGGUACUUUAUUUUAUCUAUCCAGACGGAACGAAUGGCAAGUCCACCUUGGCAAAAAUCUUGAAACAUUUCAGGACAAAAGACAAAACAAAACAAAUUUCCAUCCGUGUUAAUUCAAAUGUCAAUUAAUAAAUUAACUGAAUGAAAAAAAAAAAAAAAAAUUGUAAAUAAUUGCAUAAAAAUGAAACGGAACAAUCAAUUUGGUUUACCUGUUUU